AUUCACAUAGUUUAUAAAACAUUUUAUUUUCAUUAAAAAAAAAGAAAUUAAUUCUUGUGAAUU
rnacentral:tRNA from 2 species